rnacentral:rRNA from 1 species
AUUGAACGCUGGCGGCAUGCUUUACACAUGCAAGUCGAACGGUAACAGGCCUUCGGGUGCUGACGAGUGGCGAACGGGAGAGUAAUGCAUCGGAACGUACCCAGAGGUGGGGGAUAACGCAGCGAAAGCUGUGCUAAUACCGCAUGUGAUCUGAGGAUGAAAGCGGGGUACCGAGCAGCCAUGUUUGGCCUCGCGCCUUUGGAGCGGCCGAUGUCGGAUUAGCUAGUUGGUGGGGUAAAGGCCUACCAAGGCGACGAUCCGUAGCUGGUCUGAGAGGACGACCAGCCACACUGGGACUGAGACACGGCCCAGACUCCUACGGGAGGCAGCAGUGGGGAAUUUUGGACAAUGGGCGCAAGCCUGAUCCAGCAAUGCCGCGUGCGGGAAGAAGGCCUUCGGGUUGUAAACCGCUUUUGGCAGGAACGAAACGGUGUCCGCUAAUACCGGGCGCUAAUGACGGUACCUGCAGAAUAAGCACCGGCUAACUACGUG